rnacentral:rRNA from 1 species
AACGAACGCUGGCGGCAUGCCUAACACAUGCAAGUCGAACGAAGGCUUCGGCCUUAGUGGCGCACGGGUGAGUAUCGCGUGGGAACCUGCCCUUUGGUACGGAAUAACUGCGGGAAACUGCAGCUAAUACCGUAUACGUCCUCCGGGAGAAAGAUUUAUCGCCGAAGGAGGGGCCUGCGUCCGAUUAGGUAGUUGGUGAGGUAACGGCUCACCAAGCCGACGAUCGGUAGCUGGUCUGAGAGGAUGAUCAGCCACACUGGGACUGAGACACGGCCCAGGCUCCUACGGGAGGCAGCAGUGGGGAAUAUUGGACAAUGGGCGAAAGCCUGAUCCGGCAAUGCCGCGUGAGUGAUGAAGGCCUUAGGGUUGUAAAGCUCUUUCACCCACGACGAUGAUGACGGUAGUGGGAGAAGAAGCCCCGGCUAACUUCGUGCCAGCCGCCGCCGUAA